rnacentral:rRNA from 1 species
UACAGAGGGUGCGAGCGUUAAUCGGAAUUACUGGGCGUAAAGCGUGCGUAGACGGUUAUUUAAGUCGGGUGUGAAAGCCCCGGGCUCAACCUGGGAAUUGCAUUCGAGACUGAAUAGCUAGGGUACGGUAGAGGGAAGCGGAAUUUCCGGUGUAGCGGUGAAAUGCGUAGAUAUCUGGAGGAAUACCGGUGGCGAAGGCGGCAUCCUGGACCGGCAUUGACGCUGAGGAGCGAAAGCCAGGGGAGCAAAGCGGG